UCAAGGUAUAUACAUUGAAUUUUUUUUUUUACUGCUUAAAAGAAAUAGAAGAAAGAAAAGAAUAAUUCGAGUUAUGCCUCUUACAUGAAAAGUCCACCGUGAUGUUUCACGAAUAAGCGAAGGUUUUCCUAAACGUGAUUCCUAGAAAAAUGGAAUACAAAAAAAAAAAAAAAACGUAACACUUAAAACUUUAGCUCCAUAAAUUCCUAAGGCUAAUCCAGACAAUCCAGUGACCUAAUUUUGGAAGCGUUUCAAUGCUAGAAAAUAAAAAAUGAAAAUGGUAGAUUGUUUACUAUGGCAGUCAAUUUUUUUUUAUCAUCAAGUAAAUUGAUGCUUUCAAUUUUAAUUCACGAAAGUGUAUAUCUACAUUCUCUCUUUCAUUUGUUUAUGUUCAAGCCUCGCUUUUAAAAUAUCCUUUUCCGUUUCUUUUCGUAUAUUUUCCUGCCUUAGAAAUUCUUUUUAGCAUAAGCCUCUGCUUCUAAUUGAGCCUUAUACUGUGCAGUGAUUC